rnacentral:rRNA from 1 species
GAGAUGUUGGGUUAAGUCCCGUAACGAGCGCAACCCUUGUCCUUAGUUACCAGCACGUUAUGGUGGGCACUCUAAGGAGACUGCCGGUGACAAACCGGAGGAAGGUGGGGAUGACGUCAAGUCAUCAUGGCCCUUACGGCCUGGGCUACACACGUGCUACAAUGGUCGGUACAGAGGGUUGCCAAGCCGCGAGGUGGAGCUAAUCCCAUAAAACCGAUCGUAGUCCGGAUCGCAGUCUGCAACUCGACUGCGUGAAGUCGGAAUCGCUAGU